UUACGGGAGGCAGCAGUGGGGAAUCUUCGGCAAUGGACGAAAGUCUGACCGAGCAACGCCGCGUGAGUGAAGAAGGUUUUCGGAUCGUAAAACUCUGUUGUUAGAGAAGAACAAGGACGUUAGUAACUGAACGUCCCCUGACGGUAUCUAACCAGAAAGCCACGGCUAACUACGUGCCAGCAGCCGCGGUAAUACGUAGGUGGCAAGCGUUGUCCGGAUUUAUUGGGCGUAAAGCGAGCGCAGGCGGUUUCUUAAGUCUGAUGUGAAAGCCCCCGGCUCAACCGGGGAGGGUCAUUGGAAACUGGGAGACUUGAGUGCAGAAGAGGAGAGUGGAAUUCCAUGUGUAGCGGUGAAAUGCGUAGAUAUAUGGAGGAACACCAGUGGCGAAGGCGGCUCUCUGGUCUGUAACUGACGCUGAGGCUCGAAAGCGUGGGGAGCAAACAGGAUUAGAUACCCUGGUAGG
rnacentral:rRNA from 1 species